GUGAGGAAUUUUCCGCAAUGGGCGAAAGCCUGACGGAGCAAUGCCGCGUGAAGGAUGAAGGCCUAUGGGUUGUAAACUUCUUUUCUCAGAAAAGAAUUAUGACGGUAUCUGAGGAAUAAGCAUCGGCUAACUCUGUGCCAGCAGCCGCGGUAAGACAGAGGAUGCAAGCGUUAUCCGGAAUGAUUGGGCGUAAUGCGUCUGUAGGUUGUUUAAAAAGUAUUCUGUCAAAGAUUAGGGCUUAACACUAGAUAGGCAGAAUAAACUUUUAAGCUAGAGUUUGGUAGAGGCAGAGGGAAUUCCCGGUGGAGCGGUGAAAUGCGUAGAGAUCGGGAGGAACACCAAAGGCGAAGGCACUCUGCUGGGCCAAUACUAACACUGAGAGACGAAAGCGAGGGGAGCAAAUGGGAUUAGAAACCCUGGUAGUCC
rnacentral:rRNA from 1 species